CAUUGUUUUUUUGUCAAUCAUUGGAACGGUCCAAACGUGUGACCACGGGAGCUGUCGCGGGACUCUGGAACACCGCCGGUGGGGGUGUGGCCGUCACGGCCCCCGGGAAGUACCUGCCAGACCUGCGGUGCUCAGACCCUGGAGCCCAGAGCUCCCCGGCUCGACAGGGAGCACGGUUACACAGCACAGUGUGCUUGCGACACAGCAGUCCCGGGCGUGGGCGUGGACGGCAGCCCUGGGGUGGGGCAGGUGUGCGGGUGACCUCAGCGCCCCCAGGAGCUGCUGGGGGACGGGGGGGGAAGGGACGCUCUUGCUGCUCUGCUGUGGGAAGCUCUCCAGGAUGCUUUCUGAAUGAACGCAGAGCAGAGGGGCCAGCACGGAUUAGAGUUCGGAAAAAAGAAAAGGAGGAAUGGCCAAGCCCUGUCUCCGAGGACACGUAGGAACAGCCGAGGACCAAGAAGGAAACACCUCCGAGCGGUCGGACCAUCGGCGGCCACGACAAAGUGCCCACUCUCUCCUCCGCACGGUGGGCAGGGCGCUCCCGGGCACAGCCCCUGCCAGGCUGCACACCAGGCCCCGGCAUGGAGGCCGAGUCCAGGCCACGGUGCUCUCGCUCCAGAACCGGCUUCCACAUCUGGGCCCCGAGCCCCCUGCCUCCAGCACCCGGCCCGGGCCACACGCCCAGCCGGCCAGCCGCCCUGAGCCCUGAGAGGGGAACGCUGGGUGGGGGGCUCCUCCUUGCCUCUGCGGGGAGAUUAAAGCCGGAUUGGGGCUGGAACCUGGCCCCCGGCAGAACAGUGGAGCAGGAAAUCUGAGCACGAAAGAUUUGCUGCUCCCGGUGCCACGGGAAGUUUGAAAGGAUUUAAGAAACACCGGAAUCCUGGAGAACAAUAAGGGGGCUUUCAGGACGGAAGCGGGGGCUGGGGGCGCAGGGUCCCAGGUCCCGAGUACCAGCACCCCCUUCCUGGGGCCGUCAGGUCAGACGAGACGGUGCCUGCAUGCCCAGCCUGUCCAGCCUGUCCUCAGCUCGCUCAGGGCUGCUACGCCGUGAUGCUCAGAGUCUCAUCAUUCCACUGGAACCACCGCACCUGGCCGUGUGCUGGACUCCCGGGAGGGGCACCGAGUGGGGACUCAGGUGAGACCCUCCUUGUGGCACUAGCACCUUUGUGGAGAAGCCGAGUCCAGCAGAGUUUGCUCUUGGUGGACGUGCGUGGGAGACGCUGGAGGAAGUCAGAGGAGCCUUGAACACUCACAGUGACAGUGCAAGGGCGGAGCUGGGUGUGGAAGGAAGCAUCACCCCUGGGGAUCCCCUUCUUGGUUGUCAGGGCUUAAAAAUACCGCCGAUUCAUUAUUAUUAUAGAGAAUAAAGUGGUAUGGAUUAA